UUCUGCGUGUGCUGACCCAAUGUGGUGAUGGCGAGCCGCAUGACUUGGAGGAAUGCGAUGACGGCAACCUUGACAAUAAUGAUGGAUGCAGCGACAAGUGCGUGGUCGAACUUGCCUGGGUCUGCCAGGCAGUACCUGCUGGACUUUACGCAGAUGGCUGGGGUCG
rnacentral:SRP_RNA from 1 species